UAGGGAAUCUUCCGCAAUGGACGAAAGUCUGACGGAGCAACGCCGCGUGAGUGAAGAAGGUUUUCGGAUCGUAAAACUCUGUUGUCAGAGAAGAACAGGUUGGAGAGUAACUGCUCCAGCCUUGACGGUAUCUGACCAGAAAGCCACGGCUAACUACGUG
rnacentral:rRNA from 1 species